AAUGCAAAGCUGAGAAAUUGUGCAGAGCUGAUUCUGAAUUCCACGUGCCUGUCUUGACCACUGCAGGAAGGACACGCACACACCAUCCAGACGCUGCUGUCCCUCGGCGCUGAUGUCCAUGCAAAGGAUGGGAAGAGCCGUUCUGCCCUGCACGCAGCGUGCGCUGGGCAGCAGGUGGACGCUGCACGGAUCCUGCUCCGUGCUGGGCUGCAAGACGCCCCGGAUAGCACGGGCACGCUGGCGCGGCAGCUUGCGAGGAAGCCAGAUGUCAUCCAGGUUUUCCAGGAUACAAAUGUCAGCGCGUGAGACCAACUGGGAAAAAGAGAAACACGUUUCAUUUCAGUGUGGGCUGAACUUUACCUCUUCUUGUGCAGCACCUGGCACGUCCAAACAGCUGAGGCUGCAGCUCCUUGAAGUAUAACUAUCCAGGGAAUGUGCCCCAUGGGCUGGAUGACCUCUGGGGACCUGCAUGGCUUGAACCUCUUGGAGCCUGCCUAGCUCUUGCUGGUGAUGUUUCCAUACAGUGGACAUCCUGAAGGAGAAGAUACACCUGGAGCGUUGAUUUUUAUAGCCCUUAAUGGACCUGCUCUCCACUAAUCUCUGAAGUUCCUUCAAGUGGCCACUUCUUUCUAUAGCCCCUGAGAGAGGCUGUGUGCGGUGCAGUGUAAGUGAACCCUCGGUGACUCUUCCUUCAUCAGGUUUGAGCUGCAGAGGACAAGUGCAGGGAGUCUUCAAGCUGCAUCAACCUCUUACGUCCUUUUUGUGGCCCAAGUCUGCUGCCAAAGCCUGCUGAAAUCAGUAGUAAGACCUCAACCUUGCGACGACGUCAAGGGUCUUUGGAUCAGACUAAAAAAAGAGGUAUUUCUUAUUCCAGACAGCCUUGCAUGGCACUUCUCGCCACUGAUGAACUUUAAAAAAAAACAAAACUGCUCUUUGAAGUGUAUAGGGAAAUGGCUUAAUAUUUAAUGUAGCCAGUAAGCCUCUAACAGCCUGGAAUACACGUAAAGGUAAGAGCUACUGUAGCCGU
rnacentral:lncRNA from 1 species